GGGACCCCUGCUUUAAAGAACACCCAGAUCCAGGGAGAGCCGAAGUUACAACCACGGGUCUGCCAGAACUGCAAGACAAGAGCACAGGGUCACAGUGUGAGAACCCUGUUUAGUUGAUUCUAGAGUGCACAUCUUCCCUAUCCCGCCAUCUCUGGGGAUCAACUGAAGGUGACAGAAACCAGGUCCCAAGCCUUGAGUUCUCCUUUCCCUCUGGCAGGGUCGGAAAUCUCCAGACUGUGAUAUGGGUAAGAUUGGGAAGGCUGCAGGG
rnacentral:lncRNA from 1 species